UUNCACGUGUAGCAGUGAAAUGCGUAGAGAUGUGGAGGAAUACCGAUGGCGAAGGCAGCCCCCUGGGAUAACGCUGACGUUCAUGCUCGAAAGCGUGGGUAGCAAACAGGAUUAGAUACCCUGGUAGUCCACGCCCUAAACGAUGUCCAUUAGCUGUUGGGCAACUUGAUUGCUUAGUAGCGUAGCUAACGCGUGAAAUUGACCGCCUGGGGAGUACGGUCGCAAGAUUAAAACUCAAAGGAAUUGACGGGGACCCGCACAAGCGGUGGAUGAUGUGGAUUAAUUCGAUGCAACGCGAAGAACCUUACCCGGUCUUGACAUGUACGGAAUCUCUCAGAGACGGGAGAGUGCCUUCGGGAACCGUAACACAGGUGCUGCAUGGCUGUCGUCAGCUCGUGUCGUGAGAUGUUGGGUUNNNNNNCGCAACGAGCGCAACCCUUGUCAUUAGUUGCCAUCAUUUAGUUGGGCACUCUAAUGAGACUGCCGGUGACAAACCGGAGGAAGGUGGGGAUGACGUCAAGUCCUCAUGGCCCUUAUGACCAGGGCUUCACACGUCAUACAAUGGUCGGUACAGAGGGUCGCCAAGCCGCGAGGUGGAGCCAAUCUCACAAAACCGAUCGUAGUCCGGAUUGCACUCUGCAACUCGAGUGCAUGAAGUCGGAAUCGCUAGUAAUCGCAGGUCAGCAUACUGCGGUGAAUACGUUCCCGGGUCU
rnacentral:rRNA from 1 species